rnacentral:lncRNA from 1 species
GACAAAAAUUAGAAUCUUGCCUUUCUCGUACCAUUCUCCCAACAGUUCUAACAGUCUCAAAAACCUCUCAUUUUCGGGCCUCACUUCAACUAACUGUGCUAUGUCCUUAUUCACAACACUCCUCCCACCAACCUGUACCUCAACAGGUUUGUUUAACACUUUACGAGCCAAAAUUUCAACUUGACGAGGAAAAGUAGCAGAAAAUAGUACAGUUUGACGGUCUGGUCGAAUAUUCUGCACAAUUCGAGUAAUCUGAGGUUCAAAACCCAUGUCAAACAUCCUAUCAGCUUCAUCCAUGACUAAAUAUGUAACUCUACGCAGAUUUGUUAUUUUCCCGGCACUGGUGCAGAGUAUAUCAAUCAUCCUUCCUGGAGUACAAACUACUAUUUCAGCUCCACGCUUAAGCUCACUAAUUUGUUGGGCAACACCGGAACCUCCAUAUACAGGCACACACCUUAGACCCAUUACCUUUGAAAAUUUUUUUAUGUCACUGUGUAUCUGCUGGACCAACUCUCUGGUAGGAGCCAUUAUAAGCCCAAUAGGACCAUCACCAGGUACAACAGGUGAUUGAUCCUUGAUAUGCCUCAGCAUUGGAAGCACAAAUGCAAGCGUUUUUCCAGAUCCAGUUUUGGCAAUACCGAUGCAAUCUCGGCCACUCAUGACUAUUGGCAAUGCCUGAGCUUGUAUUGGCAUUGGCUUCUCAUAGUUAAGUUUCUUGAUUGUUUCUAAGAUUUUACUUGUAAGUCCAGUUUGAUGCCAGGUUUUAACAGGCUUCGGAACAUCUUUUCCAUGUAUCUUCAAUUCCAAUUGCUUCCGAUAAGCAGCAACUUCUUCCAAAGUCAUCCUUGAUAUCUCCUUCACUUCGAUAUAGAAGUUCUUACGGAAAGGCUGAUAGUCCAUCUUUGAAUGGUCAACAAUAGAGAGCUUCUCAGCCUUUGUCUUCUUCACCCUUUUCAUGAACUCGUCGUCGUCUUCAUCUUCUAAAGUAUCUCCAUCGUUCUCAAGAUCUCCAUAGUCUGUGUCAGAAUCUUCACCAGGAAUUAUUCUGCCCAUUGAUUUAUUUGAAAUUCUUCUUUGAGCCUUACCACCACUCUGAUCGCUUGGUUUAUCUCUGCUCUUCAACUCUACAAUUUUAUCAUCAUUAACUGUGGGGACCUCAACUUUGUUUAGCUUCUCCACUUCAGGCAGAACCAUGGAGUUCAUGAAAGCAUCCAGAGGAUCAAUUUCAUCAUCAGCUGCAUCACCACCAAUGCUAUCUUGCGGUGGAGAUGCAGCUGCUUCAUUGCCAUUGUUGAAGUUCACUGCAAUCUGUUCACCAUCUACAAGUGGCUUA